rnacentral:rRNA from 1 species
UACGGGGGGGGUAAGCGUUGUUCGGAAUUACUGGGCGUAAAGGGCUCGUAGGCGGCCAAUUAAGUCAUACGUGAAAUCCCUCAGCUUAACUGGGGAACUGCGUGUGAUACUGGAUGGCUUGGAUUUGGGAGAGGGAUGCGGAAUUCCAGGUGUAGCGGUGAAAUGCGUAGAUAUCUGGAGGAACACCGGUGGCGAAGGCGGCAUCCUGGACCAAUAUUGACGCUGAGGAGCGAAAGCUAGGGGAGCAAACGGG